AUCCGAAAAGCCAACCCCUUCGCGAGAAGGGCACGGAAAGUCGCGGGUCUUCCUGUUGCCUCCUGAAGACGGCCGGGCUGCCGAAG
rnacentral:ncRNA from 1 species